rnacentral:lncRNA from 7 species
CUCUGUCUUCUGCUUUGAGGAGUCUUUUUUUGUCAGUGUGUGCAUCCACUGUGUCCUGCAACCAGUGCUGUCCAUGGUAUAGUGAUGAAUUUGCUGGUGGUGGCUGCUGCCUCUGCAUUUCUGACCAGAGUUUCCGGGACGGAUGUGAAAAAAACUGCAUCAGGCAUGGAUAUCUGCA